rnacentral:rRNA from 1 species
GACUUAUACCUAUCUGUUGCCUCGGCGCAGGCCGGCCUCUUCACUGAGGCCCCCUGGAAACAGGGAGCAGCCCGCCGGCGGCCAACUAAACUCUUGUUUCUAUAGUGAAUCUCUGAGUAAAAAACAUAAAUGAAUCAAAACUUUCAACAACGGAUCUCUUGGUUCUGGCAUCGAUGAAGAACGCAGCGAAAUGCGAUAAGUAAUGUGAAUUGCAGAAUUCAGUGAAUCAUCGAAUCUUUGAACGCACAUUGCGCCCUCUGGUAUUCCGGAGGGCAUGCCUGUUCGAGCGUCAUUUCAACCCUCAAGCCUGGCUUGGUGAUGGGGCACUGCCUUCUAACGAGGGCAGGCCCUGAAAUCUAGUGGCGAGCUCGCUAGGACCCCGAGCGUAGUAGUUAUAUCUCGUUCUGGAAGGCCCUGGCGGUGCCCUGCCGUUAAACCCCCAACUUCUGAAAAUUUGACCUCGGAUCAGGUAGGAAUACCCGCUGAACUUAAGCAUAUCAAUAAGCGGAGGAA